rnacentral:rRNA from 1 species
AGAACGAACGCUGGCGGCAGGCUUAACACAUGCAAGUCGAGCGCCCCGCAAGGGGAGCGGCAGACGGGUGAGUAACGCGUGGGAACAUACCCUCCGGUUCGGAAUAGCUCAGGGAAACUUGGAUUAAUACCGGAUACGGCCUAGCGGCGAAAGAUUCAUCGCCGGAGGAUUGGCCCGCGUCUGAUUAGCUAGUUGGUGGGGUAAUGGCCCACCAAGGCGACGAUCAGUAGCUGGUCUGAGAGGAUGAUCAGCCACAUUGGGACUGAGACACGGCCCAAACUCCUACGGGAGGCAGCAGUGGGGAAUAUUGGACAAUGGGCGAAAGCCUGAUCCAGCAAUGCCGCGUGUGUGAAGAAGGUCUUCGGAUUGUAAAGCACUUUCGACGGGGACAUGAUGACGGUACCGUAGAAGACGCCCGGCUAACUUCGUGCCAGCAGCCGC